GAUGAACGCUGGCGGCGUGCUUAACACAUGCCAGUCGAACGGCGAACACGGAGCUUGCUCUGUGGGAUCAGUGGCGAACGGGUGAGUAACACGUGAGCAACCUGCCCCUGACUCUGGGAUAAGCGCUGGAAACGGCGUCUAAUACUGGAUAUGUGACGUGACCGCAUGGUCUGCGUUUGGAAAGAUUUUUCGGUUGGGGAUGGGCUCGCGGCCUAUCAGCUUGUUGGUGAGGUAAUGGCUCACCAAGGCGUCGACGGGUAGCCGGCCUGAGAGGGUGACCGGCCACACUGGGACUGAGACACGGCCCAGACUCCUACGGGAGGCAGCAGUGGGGAAUAUUGCACAAUGGGCGCAAGCCUGAUGCAGCAACGCCGCGUGAGGGAUGACGGCCUUCGGGUUGUAAACCUCUUUUAGCAGGGAAGAAGCGAAAGUGACGGUACCUGCAGAAAAAGCGCCGGCUAACUACGUG
rnacentral:rRNA from 1 species